rnacentral:misc_RNA from 1 species
AAGUCGUAACAAGGUUUCCGUAGGUGAACCUGCGGAAGGAUCAUUAAUGAAUGAAUGUAGAGUUGGUUGUAGCUGGCCCGCAAGGGCACGUGCACGCCUUCUCUUUCAUCCACACACCCCAUGUGCACCUGUGAGACAGAGGCUUAUGGCUCUCUUUUGUUAGGGAGCUGGUCUCUGUCUGCUAUUACACAAACUCAUAUACUAUAAUCUGAAUGUAAUUGAUGUAAACGCAUCUAUAUACUAAGUUUCAACAACGGAUCUCUUGGCUCUC